CUACGCACUCCUACGGGAGGCAGCAGUGGGGAAUAUUGCACAAUGGGCGCAAGCCUGAUGCAGCCAUGCCGCGUGUAUGAAGAAGGCCUUCGGGUUGUAAAGUACUUUCAGCAGUGAGGAAGGUGGGUAUGUUAAUAGCAUACUCAUUUGACGUUAGCUGCAGAAGAAGCACCGGCUAACUCCGUGCCAGCAGCCGCGGUAAUACGGAGGGUGCGAGCGUUAAUCGGAAUUACUGGGCGUAAAGCGCAUGCAGGUGGUUUGUUAAGUCAGAUGUGAAAGCCCGGGGCUCAACCUCGGAAUUGCAUUUGAAAACUGGCAAACUAGAGUACUGUAGAGGGGGGUAGAAUUUCAGGUGUAGCGGUGAAAUGCGUAGAGAUCUGAAGGAAUACCGGUGGCGAAGGCGGCCCCCUGGACAGAUACUGACACUCAGAUGCGAAAGCGUGGGGAGCAAACAGGAUUAGAUACCCUGGUAG
rnacentral:rRNA from 1 species